GGUGGCUCAGUGGUAGAGUGCAUGCCUUGCAUGCAUGAGGCCCUGGGUUCAAUUCCUCAGUACCA
rnacentral:tRNA from 1 species